rnacentral:rRNA from 1 species
AUGUACAUUAAUAUACCGUUAAUGCCCCAUAUCCCAUCAAAACUAUGCAGUUAAGUGCACUUGGGCUAGAGUAGUACUGAGAUGGGUGACCUCUUGGGAAAUCCUAAUGUUUUACAUG